UUCAGAGGUGGCGAGCGUUGUUCGGAUUUACUGGGCGUAAAGGGUGCGUAGGCGGCCCUGUGUGUCGGGCGUGAAAUCCUGCCGCUUAACGGCAGAACGCCGUCCGAAACUACAGGGCUAGAGUGCAGGAGAGGAAAGCGGAAUUCUUGGUGUAGCGGUGGAAUGCGUUGAUAUCAAGAGGAACACCGGUGGCGAAGGCGGCUUUCUGGAAUGCAACUGACGCUGAGGCACGAAAGUUGGGGGAG
rnacentral:rRNA from 1 species